GUCUACGGCCAUGCCACCCUGAACAAGCCCAAUCCCGUCUGAUCUCCGAAGCUAAGCAGGGUCGGGCCUGGUUAGUACUUGGAUGGGAGACCACCUAGGAAGACCAGGUGCUGUAGGUG
rnacentral:rRNA from 1 species